AGAUGAGGUAGAGGCGCGACUAACAUGAGUAGCUUUGUCUGAGGAUGACAACGUUGACGAAAAGUAAAAGGGGAAGUCGCCGAAGUAGUAACAGGUGUCGAACUGUUUCUUGCUGGAACUGCAUUGAAUAAGUGCAGGGCUGUCAUAGCUUGAGGAGCGCUCAAGCUAUGGAGGACUACCAUUCAA
rnacentral:ncRNA from 2 species